CCCCCACCUGCAGCCCGUCCCCCACCUGCAGCCCCGUCCCGGGAGGCUGGAGCCUAUCGGAGGCCACACAUGUAAUUAUUCGGGGCCUCUGAUUACAGCACAACCCCCCAGGACGGCCGCUCUGGUCACACGCGUCUGGGGUAAGUCUGGGGAACCUGUGACUCAGCAAUCCCUGGUAAAUAAGUUAAUGGCCAGCCCAGCCAACCACCAAGCACGGCCUGCAGUCGGGCUCGGGGUCCAGCCGGCCAGCAGACCCGGCCGGGCCUGGGAGGACAGACAGCCACCGGCCCUCCUACCCACUGAGCCCGAGCCCGAGCCCGAGCCCGUGAGGGUUCCCUCAGGUUUCCGAGGGCCUCGCUCCCCACGAUGGACGUGUCCUCCGAGCAGCAGGGCGGAUCAC